UGGGGAAUAUUGCACAAUGGGGGAAACCCUGAUGCAGCGACGCCGCGUGAACGAAGAAGGUAUUCGUAUCGUAAAGUUCUGUCCUAUGGGAAGAUAAUGACAGUACCAUAGAAGAAAGCUCCGGCUAAAUACGUGCCAGCAGCCGCGGUAAUACGUAUGGAGCGAGCGUUGUCCGGAAUUAUUGGGCGUAAAGGGUACGCAGGCGGUUUAAUAAGUCGAAUGUUAAAGAUCGGGGCUCAACCCCGCAAAGCAUUGGAAACUGAUAAACUUGAGUAGUGGAGAGGAAAGUAGAAUUCCUAGUGUAGUGGUGAAAUACGUAGAUAUUAGGAGGGAUACCAGUAGCGAAGGCGACGUUCUGGACACAAACUGACGCUGAGGUACGAAAGCGUGGGGAGCAAACAGG
rnacentral:rRNA from 1 species